AGCUCCAAUAGCGUAUACUAAAGUUGUUGCAGUUAAAAAGCUCGUAGUUGGAUUUCUGCGGGGGUGGGGCGCCCUGGGCUUUUAGUCUAUGGAGCAGCAACUCCUCCGCAUCCUGCCGCGAACCACGCUACCAUUCGUUUGGUGGCGUCUGGGGACCGGCUCGUUUACUUUGAGAAAAUAGAGUGUUCAAAGCAGGCCUGAUGCCUUGAAUAAUGUAGCAUGGAAUAAUGAUAAAGGACUUUGGUUCUAUU
rnacentral:rRNA from 1 species